GCCGUAGCUCAGUGGUAGAGGAUCUGCCCUGUAUGGAGAAAGUCCCAGGUUCUACUUUUAAAAAAAAGUUUUCAGUUUUACAAUUGCAUCAUUUUUGCAGAAGGUCUCAGGUUGAAUCCCUAGCAUCUCCA